UACGAAGGGUGCAAGCGUUAGUCGGAAUUACUGGGCGUAAAGCGUGCGUAGGCGGUCUCUUAAGUCCGUUGCGAAAGCCCUGGGCUCAACCUGGGAACUGCAGUGGAUACUGAGAAGCUAGAGUGUGUCAGAGGAUGGUGGAAUUCCCGGUGUAGCGGUGAAAUGCGUAGAGAUCGGGAGGAACAUCAGUGGCGAAGGCGGCCAUCUGGGACAACACUGACGCUGAGGCACGAAAGCGUGGGGAGCGAACAGG
rnacentral:rRNA from 1 species